rnacentral:rRNA from 1 species
CGCAUCUGUGCAUGCAGCAUAUCAAUAAGCGGAGGAAAAGAAACUAACAAGGAUUCCCCUAGUAACGGCGAGUGAAGCGGGAAGAGCUCAAAUUUGAAAUCUUAAAGGGUUUCCCUUUACGAAUUGUAGUUUAAAGAAGUGUUUUCUGUUGAGGUUUUGGUAAAAGUUCUUUGGAAUAGGACAUCAUAGAGGGUGAGAAUCCCGUAUUUGACCUUUACUUUCAACUUUGUGAUACACUUUCAAAGAGUCGGAUUGUUUGGGAAUGCAGUCCAAAAUGGGUGGUAAAUUUCAUCUAAAGCUAAAUAUUGGCGAGAGACCGAUAGCGAACAAGUACCGUGAGGGAAAGAUGAAAAGAACUUUGAAAAGAGAGUUAAACAGUACGUGAAAUUGUCAAAAGGGAAGCGUUUGACACCAGUGUUGUUUUUCUGAAAAUCAAUUAAAGAACUGUUUAUGCUAAGUUGUUUAGACUUUAUCAGCUAAUCUGCUUAGUUUUGAGCUUUUCUUUAAUGCACUUUUCAGUUAACAAGUCAACAUCAAUUUCUUUUGCUGUAAAAAAGCUUGAGGAAGGUGGCUUGAGAUUCGUCUUAAGUGUUUAUAGCCUCUUGCCUAUGCAGUCGGAGAGAUUGAGGUCUGCAGCGUAGAUCCUUCGGGGCUAAAUGCAUUUGUGCUAAGUUAUAGCACUUUAUAGACAACUUGUUGACUAUGAUUUGUCUUGUAGCUUACUCGCUUAUGUUAUUUUACCUACGCUUAGGAUGUUGAGCGCAUGUCUCUCUCU